ACUUAGCCAUAAACCUUGGUAGGCCCUACACCUCGCCCGCCCGCCAGAGAACUACGAGUGAAAAACUUGAAACUCUAAGGACUUGACGGUGCCCCACACCUCCUAGAGGAGCCUGUCCUACAAUCGAUGCUCCACGUUAAACCUCCCCCCCCCUUGUUAAAGUCAGCCUAUAUACCGCCGUCGUCAGCCUGCCUAGUGAUAGCCACACAGCAAGCAAGAUAGUCUCACCACUAAUACGUCAGGUCAAGGUGUAGCUCAUGGGGGGGCAAGAGAUGGGCUACAUUUUCUAACUACUAGACAACUCACCGUAAGCCACAUGAAAUCUUGGCCGACCGGAGGAUUUAGCAGUAAAUGCAGGUAAGAAUGCCUAAUUGAAGCAGGCCCUGGGGCGCGUACACACCGCCCGUCACCCUCCUCAAAAUCCACCACUAAAUAACUAAACCACACUUUAACCACAAGAUGAGGUAAGUCGUAACAUGGUAAGCCCACCGGAAGGUGGGCUUGGCACAUC
rnacentral:rRNA from 1 species